GAUAGGGUCAAAAGUAGUGCAAUUUGUACCUCUCACCGUUGCUCUUUUACCUGCCGACAGGUGUAUAUGAUUAGGGGUCUGCAUUUUGUGGUGAUUCUGUCAGCAGAGCCCAAGGCUGUGGGGGUCCGAGGUUUGGUGGGCUGGCCACUGGAAUGGCCUGGCAGAGCCCCUCUAAUGUCCCACCCAUAGGAAUGAAUGAAUUUGGGUGCAAAUGUAAUUGGGAAGGGAUGACUUCUUAGGUCUCCUUCGAAAUAUUUGCGUUGGCCCCGACCCGAGUGGCCUGCACUCAAUGGCCCGAACCCAUGGCCUCCAAGAAGACAUCUCUCAUUUAUUUGAUCUUUCCUAUCAAAGUAGCUUCACCGCUUAGACUUGCUGAAAUUGUACCUACAUAUUUUUCUCUUUCUCCUAUUAUUUCCCCUUCAUCCCGGCGCCGACAUUGUGCAAUAUGUCGAUCACAAAUAAUGGCUUUUAACCGACUGGGAGAAGGCCUUUGCGUUUCGGCUUCUCGUGAGGUUUUGAUGAAGGGGAAAGUCCGGCGACGGUCAAGUUAGGCUGCAGAAGGCUGGGAGUGUGGCCAUGCAAUUUCAGUUUCCGCAGCGAGGUGGCGCUCCAGGGCACCACAGCGCACACAGCAGCGGGCCGCCGAGCGCUCCGACCGCGUUCCCGCAGCGAGGCAGUGGUCGCCGAGCCAGGUUCCCGUCGGCUUCCUCUCGCUUCGGCACCAAAAGUCGGAGAGCUCUCAGGCCCUCUGGGCCAAGCGGCCCGCAGGGUGGGCGAAGGGCUGAGGCCGCGACCGGGGGAGGCUGGCGGCGGCAGGGAGCCUAGACCCGGCUGAAGCCGGUGCACACUCCCAGCGCUCUUGCUCCGGGGAAUCUGCGAAGUUCUUGGACCCUGGCGGGGCCGAGGCGAGCGUGCGGGGACCUCAGAGCCUCCGGGAACGGCGCGCGGGGCUUCGGCCUCUGCCCAGUUGCGGGGAGGACAGACCCUAACACGCUAGGGAGUCGCCCAACUCCUUCACCCGAGGGUCGGGAGACUUUUCUUCUUUCUUUUUUCUUGUUUUAAGGAAAAAUAAAGGAAAGAAAAACCUUACGCACUCGAUAUUGCUUUGUCCUCCAAAUUAGGCCGUUUUCCUGUUUACUAGGUUUUUCUUUUCUUUCCUGUAAUUUUCCUCUCCUUACCUUUUCGUUCUUUACUGUUUUCCCCUUCCUUUCUUUUCUAGUCUUUCUUAUCUUCUGUCUCUCCAUUUCUAAGAGAUGGUUCUGUGUGAGUGGGUGGGAAAAAGAAAGAGAAGGGGGGUGGCACCAGCCUUAGAGGACCCAGCAUUGGCAAAUGGCAGCAAAAUUGAAGAAGAAACUAUUUCGAUUUAUUGAACGCACUUCCGUCCUAGCGAUUUCGUUUCCACACUUCUGCCUUCCCCCGGUAUCCAACAAGCUCUAGGUCAACGAUGACCGGCAGGUAGUGCCUUUCACCAGGCCAUACCCAACCUGUGGUCGGGUUUUUGAAGCAUAGAAAUAAUAAUAGUAAUAGUCAAAACGAGCAGCAUUUCCAUUCCGCAUCAAUUUCCUCCUGAGUUUGCAGGCUGGCUCUGCGAAGCCGGAGCAACUCGAGCCGCGCGUCGGUUAGGCUGGGCCCUUUUUUCGUUGCACCGGAACGCCUUGACCCGGGAGCGGCCGCCCUCCCCAGUGGCCUCGGGCUGGGGCCAGGGCCGUGGCAGCUGCUGGGAAGCUUUGCUGAGCCAGCACCUACUAUCUACUCCCUACCCAGCCACAGUCCUUUUAGCCGGUCUUUCAGGCCAGCUUACCUUCCUUGAAGUUUUCUAAUGCAGGAAUUUUCGGCCCAAUUUAGAAGUCUACAGAAACUCAGAGGGUCAGGUCAUUAGGAAUGUUAACGUAGCAACCAAGAAUUAUAAACAUGAUCUAAAAGUCUCUUCCAAUUCAUUUCUUCAAGUAUUUAUUUGAGUUAAGUGAUGAAAAGUGACAGUUGUGAAAUAGACAGCUUUUAAAAGUAAUGAAGUCACAUGAGGCUUUAACCUGUCGAUUGCUAUAAAUCAACUUUGAAAAAGACGAAUGAAGAAUAUUAUUUAGGCGCCUAACAGCCAACAUUUGCUGUGCGGGUGGCAGGUCCCAGAGUCGGCCUGUAGGAGCUGCAGGCUGGGGGUACCCCCAGAGGCCCUGUGCUUCGAGUGUGGCCCUGGGGCGGUGGAGUCCCCUGAGACCCGCGGUCUGAAGUCACAUUUUGUUGAGGGCGGGUCUCCAUUUCCACCAAGACUUUGAUCAUGGAUUUGGGCCACCCGAGUAUGUCUGGGCAGGUAACCCAGCCUUUAGCACAGUUGGAAAUUCAGGGACUCAAUGCCACGAUGUAGACUGGCAUUCAGCCUGGAUCCCCAGCUGGCUGUGGGUGUCCACGUCCUCCAGCCCAGCAGCUCGGAAGGGCCAGGGCCUGAAUGACACCCUGAUGUUAUUAACUUUUUGGAAAUGGUGGUGGCAGAGGUGGGGGAAGGGGAAGGGAGGAAGAUGAGCAGGAAAUCAUAUUUCCCUGAGGCUCUGGGGGUGGGGAGGAGGAGUGGGGGCUUUGGGUUAUGGGAGGAAACUCCAGGAAGGAGGGGGACUGGAACAGGCAUUUCGAGGUCUUCUGAUGGGAGAAGGAUCUCAGUUCUACACAGAGUCCAGACGUUUUCUGGAGGGUAAACUGGUGGGGUGUUUUAAAAUAAAUUUUACACACUUUCCUGUGGAUCUCAUUUCCUCUCAAUUUCAAUUUUCGUCAUAGCAGGACUUGAGGCAUGGCCCUCUUCCCAGUGACUUCAACCCCAUGUCCCUAUCCCAUCCCAAGUCUGAACCGGAGAACAUGCCCAGGGUAUCUGGCCUUCUGGGUCGGCUACUUCUCUCUUUCCUCUAACGCUUCCGGAGGUGGGGAGGGUACAGACCAUUCCCCUCUCCUUUGCCGCCUACCGUCGUUACUUCUUAAACAAGCUGGUCAUCCAGUGUCCUCCCUAGACUCCUGGAGCACGAGCAACAGGUGCUGGUGCAUUUCCUCCCUUGAUUCUUCCACCCGUUUCUCUCUCCAUCCUUCUGUCUGGGUCAGCUGGGAGGGCCGGGGGUACCCCUGGUGCUGCUCCCGUUUGAAGGCGGAGAGGAAGCCCGGGCGGGCGAGAAGGCGGUGCCCGCGUCUUUGGGCCAAGUGCCUGGCUGGCUGGCUCUAGGGACGGUCUGUGACCCCGCAUUCGCCUGUCUCAAAAUUCCCAGCUCUUGGCUGGAGGCUGCAACACCGAGGACCCUCUGAAGAUGUGAGACCCAGAAGAAAGUGGAGGUGGGGGGAGGGAGAGUGAAGUGGACCACGCCCUCCCCUGGGACAGACCCUAGCUUCUGGGGGGCUAACUGGGCUGCUGGCUCCAUUCGGCCCCAUCCCGGCCUGCGACGCCUCCUCCCGGCCUGGGAGCUUGGUGCGGACCUCGGGCAACAUCCCCGCCCCACUUCAGGUCCGAUUUCCCUUUUUCUGGAGACCCGAACGCGGACUGGGAGGCUCUCGCCCUAUCUGUGCCCAACUUGCCCUCCGGGUCAGCUGGGGCUGGAACCUGCGCGCCCGAGACUCCACAGCGGGCUGCGCGGCCACCGCCCCCGCCCGCCCGGCUGGCGCCAGGGUGCCCGGAGUCCCAGGCUGGGGCGCCAAGGGCGCGGGGGCCUCCUGGACCCGCCUGGGUGGAAGGUGGGGAGGAGGGACUGCAACUUCCAGCUUCCGGCGGGGCGGGGGAAAGCUCGGCGCGGGAGGCCGGUGGAAACUCCUCCUCCACUCCGCCCCGAGGCAGCCUGGACUCGGCUAGCAGCGCGUCUCCGCCCGCCCGAGCGUUUCCAUAAAUCAGGCCGCUGGCAGGCUGCUAAUUAGCUCAGGCCGAAAAGAAUAGGAAGAGGGAGAGUCCAGUAGUGCUCGGUGGGAUGGGGGGUUGGGAGCGCAGUAGGUGGGAGAUCAGAAUUUCCCCAGGACCCGCGGGCGACUGCCUAGGGCACCUCAGCAGCCCCCCGCCGAGGCCACUGCAGAUCGCUUUCCCCCAGCCGGGGCCUCCAGCCUGGGGCCUCCUAAUCACACGCCUUCCGCACUGCGCGCACCCGGGUGUUGGACCCGGCCCGCCCACCCACGCCGAGGCCCCCUCUCCCACUUGCUGGCAAGCCCGGCGUUAAUUAACUCUCCCCUCGCCCCCUGCAAUACCGAAGACUUUCAAAACUCAUUCCCAAAUGUUUCCUUCUUAAGCCUGAAGCCUGCGUUUGGAACAACCGCCAGGAAAAGAGGGAGCUGGGUCUGGAAGGAGGCCCGCCGGGUUUCUGCGCCCCUCCCAGUCCUCUCCGCCCUCCGCCGGGAAGGGACAGUGCGAUGACAUCACCGCGGAGACCCGCGGCCUCCCCGCCCCCGGCCCCGGGACCCUGGAGCGGAGAUUGACAGGUGUCGCUCGCAAGGACAAUGCCUUCCAGGUGUCACCGUCACAGUCUCAUCCCUCCUAACCCACCUUCUCUGCCCCCUUCCCUCACAACGCUCCUACCCACCCCACACCCCUCCUUUUCUCUUUGGAGGGAAGCGCUCUCCUCCUCCCCCAGCUCUGCUCAUCUGGGCACCGGGUCCUGGAUCCAGAGAUGCGGGCCCGGAGAGGUCGGCACCGAAGGGCAGGGGUGGCGGAGAUUCCGCCUGCUGUUUGCCUCAAGGCGGCUGGAAGAUCCCUGAGCUCCGGGAAGGGUCCGAGCCCGACCGGGGGCAGAGAGGGAACGCGCGUGUAUUUUAAAGGAACCUGCGCGGUCUCUGGGCAUCCUACCUUCGCUCUCCACCCGAACCCCUCCCCCCCACAUAAUAUAACAGACGCUAAAAUAAUCCUGCCAUCUGGCAAAUCCCAAAUUUGGCGACCUAGCUAGGAAAGCAACGGCGAGGUGUCAUCUCGGGAGUUGGUGGCUGGUCCUGCCCGGCUCUUCCGAGCAGGGCCAAGGGCGCCGAGCUCUGCCUGCACCUGCCCCCAGCUCGGCCGGACCGUCCUCCACCCCCAUCCUUGCCCUGCCCCUGCCGACUUUGUGGAGCUUUCCUCUCUCCGGGUCUGGGCAUCGGCUCGGGGUGGGGCUGGGGAGGCGGGAAAGGACUUGCACGAGUUAGGGCUUCCGCUCUGGUUUCCACCAAUACUGCUCAAUGAGCUAAAACCCAAAUUCGGCUUCAUUAUUUAACACCGAAUGUAAUUUAUAGCCGGGCCGCCUGUCGGGGGCGAUUUACAUCAUUUGGUGCUAAGGAUCACACAUAUUAGAUUUCUUCAAAACCGAUGGGGGUUUUCUUUUACUUUCUUCCUUUUUUUUUUUUUUUCCUUAUUUCUUUCCUUCUCCUUUCUAUUUUUUUUUUUUUUAAAGGAGGGCAUUUGUACUAAAUUGCCCAGUGCUGGUGUGAUAACUGUCAAAAGUUUGACAUCAAAGGAGCUAAUAUUAUUCAGUUACCAGAGAAGCUGUCUGUCUAAAUAAGAAUAUCUUAAUUACUGCAUCACAAAGGUAGGAAAGGGGUCGGAUCUGAAAAGGGGAGAGGCAUUCAGCCGCUGCUUUUGAUGGGCUAUCUGUAUUAGACCGAUGUGCCUCUCCUAAUCAGGCCUAGUCCGAUUUCCUUUCCUCUCCCCGUCGGUCCUCUGAACUUUAUAACUAUAUGUAAACACGUUGUCAGUGGGGACCUAAUCUUCUCGGGUUCUUAUUAGAAGAAAUUUCCAUCCUCUCUCGUUCUAGAUUAGGCGGUGGAGUCCUCUCCGUCAAUGAAGGGACUAAGGUUUCGUGGACAAUAAUGUGGCAAUUGUUGAUGGUUUGUGACCCAUAAAAUGUGGAGGUGACUGUUCUGGCUUUGGUAUGUAAUUAUGCAAAACACUUUCCAUAAAGACUUGCCAUUCGAUCUAAUGGCAGUCCCUGCGGUCUAUUUCAAAAAGGGAGGGUCUAUGUACAGAGAGAGAAAAGUAACAUUUGUUUUAACACAGGUUUUAUGGGGGGGAUGGAUGAAUACAAACACAUCGCAACACCGCCCAAAGUAUUUUUUGGAGUCAAAUUAAAAUAAUUACGAAGGGGUUUAAUAAGUUAAUCAUAGCAACACGGCCCAGCCAAACACAGGGUGUGUGGGGGGGGUUCGGGCUACAACCCACCACCUCCCGACCUGAAUCUGUACUUGAGGGUGGCGGUUCACCUCCUGCUUGUGCAGGGGUGGCUGGCGACACUGUCUCAACUCAGUCCACCUGGGUGCCCAGAUGGGAUCUGAAGCCCCAGUUGGGGGCUGAGAUUGGGAGAGGGGUGGGCCGUGUCAUCCACCCCAAAAUCUUGUCUGUGGAAUUAUUUGGCAGAGGGCGUGUUAACAAAGCAGUCCUCUCCCGAGAAGCUCCCCUCUUUCCCUGGAGUGUCCCCAGUGCCCCAGAUUUAGGGAUUUCCCCAGAAAGGCAGGUAGGAGGGAGUGCCUGGCUGAUUUGGGUGAGAAGUCUAAAUCCUGAGCUCAGGCUUAGAGACUUAAGGACUGGGGCCGAGUCCCAGCUGCUGAAGCACCUUUGGAAGGCACCUGAGGAUUUGCUUUAUGUGCUGGUUUAAAAAAUAAUAAUAAUGAUGAUGAUGAUGAUGAUGUUGUAGUAAAGAAUUUAAAAGGGCCUGAGGAGGAAAGGUGGAAUAAGGGAGGUCAUCACUGGUCCCGACCCAGCUCUGGCUGCUAGUUAAAAGCAAGCCCUUCUCUGUCACCUCAAGGGCCCCCAUCCCGCCUGGAUCGGUGCCCCCCACACUCGGAACCACUCAGCAUCCGGCUCUGCAGCCUCGCCGCCCAGCACACAGUGGCACUGCAGCGUGAGACCCGCAGAAGCCGGCGAGAGGGGAUUUUUCAAGGGGGAAAAAUGAUUAAAAGAGAGAAUCAUCUAAAUAUCAAAGUGACGCAUGGGAGACCUGGAAAAAAUAUUUAAUCUAAUGAAAAGCAAAUAAAGAAGGAGGCACUUAGGCUGGGAAAUUAAAUAUUAUGUUUAAGAUGGUGCUUUUGUGCGGGCUUGAAGAUUUCCGAUUCAUGUACACAUAAUAAACACUCAGGUUUGUCAUCUGGAGGUGCAAAUCUGAAAGAUAUUCCAACAAAUGAAGUGCUGGCAGAGAGAGGAAUAAAGAGAUCGGCGCCUGUCAGGGGUCAGGCAGCCUGAGAUUGCUUCUAGAGAUCUUUUGAAAAUUUCACACGAUUGAAGGCUUAGGGGCUUCACUGCGCUCGCAUUUCAAACUCAGAUCAGUGGGAUCACAAUCAAAAAAUAGAGGUCUGGAAAAUUUUGAUGCAAAGAUGGCCACGGGCUGUAGGGUUUCUCUCACCAGUUCUCUCUCUCUCUUUUUCUUUCCAAGACAGAUACUCCGACAUGGUUGUGAUCCUUUGGAUGACAGAGUUGUCAGAAAAGAAAGAGAAAAUUGCAUCUUGUCUCAUAACUUCCUUUUAGUCAAAAGGAAUUUAGGGUCUUCUUUCCAAUAAAAUGGGGAGGGGGUUAAUGAUUCUUUUCUGGCUAGUAUAGGACAACAUCUCAAGAGUUCGGGAUUUCACAAUUAAUGAUUGACUCCUGGACAUUUAGGUUUGGCUGUCCUCUUCAUUUUUCUGGCUUAUUAAGAGGAUUUCCCAUUUAGUGUGUGUCCCAGCAUUACACUGAAAUUUCUUAACCACUGUCCAUUGUAGGCAAGAUCAGGUGUAUAGAUCUGAGCGUAUACUUACAUAUCUGUACGCACACACAACGCUAAUCUCUAAACAUGGAGACAGGCCUGGCUGCCUUCUUAUUUUGUGGGAGUUAAUAUUUUGCCCACCUCCCAAGAUGUCAGCACUUUCUGAUUCAAACGGGACACAGAAAAAUCAAUUGUCUCUGUGAUUGAUCCACCAGGGGAAAGAAAAUAAAAGGAACGGGGGUGGGGGGAGCUUCUAUGAGAAAAGAUCAAACUAAGGAACUCUGAAAUGGGAGCAAGCUUGGUAGAGGCAAAAAACUGAUUAGACCUCAAGAGCUGGAGACCACUUUCCCAACAACCAGAAGCAAUAGGAAUCACCUCAAAUUAGUUUCUACUGGUUUAGCAAACUUUAGGAAGAGUAAAAUGUGGACCAAUUUAUCAUCGCUUUGCCAAUUUUAAUUUUUAGCUGGCCGUCUUAGACAAGCUAGAGGUAUUCGGGGGCAAUAAUCUGAAUCAUAGUUGGGUUUCACUAACUCCGAGACAAAGAUGAGCAAAAGUAAGAUUCUCAAGAACUUCCCUUAAGUGUAUAUUAGGAGAUCUCUCCUGGGGAGUGACCCCACAGUGAAGAAAAAGUCAACAGAAAGAAGGUCUCCUGUUUCCUGGGUUAUGGACUCAAACUGUUAAUAACCUGGUGGGCAGGAACGGAAAAGUUUAAGAGUUGCACUGACUGGAUUUACAAGUUCAAAUCCUUGGCUCCUCCAGUGUUUGUCCUUUGGGCAUGGGCUGCGAACGCCCCAGAAUUGAGCGCCCCAGGUCGCUGGGCAGUGGGACAAGCCCCAGCUGCUGCAACUCUGAAGGGAGAACUCGGCCAUGGGUGCCCUGGGUUUGGUGCUCCUGGAAGGAAGGGGGAGAACAGUGGAGAAUGUGUGCCUUUCAAGUCCCAUAUUUAGAGCUUUUGUAGAUGGAAGUAGCCAAUUCCAGCCGCAGAACUGCCUGCCCUGGGACUUUGGAAAGGGCGUCCCUCUGUGUGCAGGGCGGCUUCUGCCCUCAAAAUAUGCUUCCCUAUCCCUCCUCCUUCCUCAGAACCACAGUACAGGCAUAGAGAGCAGGUUCCAAGUAUAACUUUUAGAAACUCGAGCAGAGAUGCAAACGAAGGGGAGCUUUCUCUUUACAGAAGGGCCGCCCACAGGGCCCUCGAUCUCGCUCUUUCUCGGUUUCCCAUCACGGACCAAGCCCCCCAGCUGGGCUUUAAAAAGCGAGGUUUUGUGCGGUGAAUAUUCUACCGGGGCCUUUCCUGGCACCCCGGGAAGCGCUUGGAGUGAAAAGGGGCCGGCGGGAUAACCGAAGGAAGCGGGGGAGAGCCAGGAAGGGGUCCCAGGCUGAAGUGGGGGGUGGUACCCUGCCUCCUCGGGGCAGGAGCCGCGCCCGGGCCCAGCGGGGAGAGGGCGUACGCCCGGCCAGGGUUCCGCUGACACCCACGCCCCCGCGGGCGUGCUGAGGGCCCAGGAUUUCCUCUCAACCAGGCCGGAGAAGGAUUCCAGGCUCCUCGGGUGGAAUGCGGGAGGUCUUGGGAGGGGGGUAAUUCUCCCUGCAGAAUGCAAAGCUGGCAGGAGCCUCGGUUAAAAAAAAAAAAAAAAAGAAAAAGAAAGAAA